rnacentral:rRNA from 1 species
CGCUGGCGGCAGGCUUAACACAUGCAAGUUGAACGGGAUUUGUAUGGUGCUUGCACCAUGUAAUGAGAGUAGCGCACUGGUGAGUAACACGUGGGAACAUACCUUGAAGUGGGGGACAACAGUUGGAAACGACUGCUAAUACCGCAUAAUCCCUGAGGGGGAAAGAUUUAUCGCUUUAAGAUUGGCCCGCGGAAGAUUAGGUAGUUGGUGGGGUAAAGGCCUACCAAGCCGACGAUCUAUAGCUGGUCUGAGAGGACGAACAGCCACAUUGGAACUGAGACACGGUCCAGACUCCUACGGGAGGCAGCAGUGAGGAAUAUUGGGCAAUGGAGGAAACUCUGACCCAGCCAUGCCGCGUGAGUGAAGAAGGUUUUCGAAUUGUAAAGCUCUUUCGGAUGGGACGAUGAUGACGGUACCAUCUAAAGAAGCCCCGGCAAACUUCGUGCCAGCAGCCGCGGUAAUACGAAGGGGGCAAGCGUUGUUCGGAAUUACUGGGCGUAAAGGGUGUGUAGGCGGAUUUGUAAGAUAGUGGUGAAAUACCUGAGCUCAACUUAGGAAUUGCCAUUAUAACUAUAGAUCUGGAGUGACAGAGAGGAUAUUGGAAUACCCAGUGUAGAGGUGAAAUUCGUAGAUAUUGGGUAGAACACCAGUGGCGAAGGCGAGUAUCUGGCUGUCAACUGACGCUGAGGCACGAAAGCAUGGGGAUCAAACAGGAUUAGAUACCCUGGUAGUCCAUGCUGUAAACGAUGAAUGCUAGUUGUCGGCAAAAGCCGGUGACGCAGUUAACGCGAUAAGCAUUCCGCCUGGGGAGUACGGUCGCAAGAUUAAAACUCAAAGGAAU